UUGCCUCUAGAGGGAAUGAACAGGAGGAGGGGCCAUGAGAUUUAUUCUGUAGUCAUUCUACCAAGCAACAUGGCCUCUAAUUGGGUCGAACAAAUGCUCUAUAUGGAGAACCACCGUAUAUGCAUUUAACUUGCAGACUAACAGCCCAAGUGUGAGAGAGGACGAUGUAAAUAGUGUGGGAAAUUCCCUAGAGUGAGUGUGACAUGUAAGGUCGGAAUCUGCUGCUCAGCCACUCUCAGCUCCUUCAGUCUCUCUUAGAUGUGAACAUGUGCUCUGGCCUAAGUGUGAUCCUAGUUUUUUAAGAUUUGCUAUUUUAAACAAUGUGGCUUCUACUAAGUGAGAGCCAACGAUUACAUUUGGUACCCAGCCAAAGAAAACAGAAAAUGGUUCCACUUCUAGAAUUAAAACAAAACAAAACAACUAUGCUGGUCUCAUUAAGAGAAGUCAUGUGGUCUCCAACACAAUGUCUUCCCAAGAAAUUUUUCAGAGUGAUUUUGAUUACAUGCAACUUUUCCUUCCCUGUGAACUUUAGAACCCCACGUAACCACCUCAUACCAUGAAAGAUCAGAGGCAG
rnacentral:lncRNA from 1 species